UUACAGACUAAAAUCAAACUUAAACUCGAAUGGCCCAAUUACAGUAGCCCGAUACCCCGGCCCAAUUACAUUGAAGCCCAAAACAGAAAAGGAACCAGAAACCCUAGUAGCUAGGGCGAGCCUCCAGCGCCACAGCCACCAGGGCAUGCCCUUGGCCUCACGCGCGCCUCCGUACGUGCCACGUCCACCCUCCAUAUGUCGUACCUGCAGAAAGGACAAACAAA
rnacentral:lncRNA from 1 species